rnacentral:piRNA from 1 species
UACUAGGUAUAUUGUACCACAGGCCA